UUCUCAUUUCCCUGGGCACCUCCUCUCAUCUUUUCAGAACAUGCCAUGCUAUCACAAGGACGAGUUCAGAUGCCAAGGAUAAGGGAACAGGAGCCUUCAGAAGAGAAUGAAAUUGUCUAAGGAGCCGUGGAACAUGUCAGAAUGUCUCCUGAAUUGUGCCCUCCAUCCUGACAGGUUCAGCAUUGGAGGUACAAGGUUUCAAGUUUUUCACCAAGAGAAAGAUGAACAAGACGCCUCUUGAAAACAGAGUUGAAUAUGCACGCCUCUUUCUUUCUUGUGUAAGAUUCUGGUUGAACAACUUACUGCCUUGUGACAACCAUCUAUGAAACGUCAUCCAGGCUUUGUGUCAUCCGCAGAUAUGAUGAGCGGCCCAUCUACACCUUUAUUCAGGUCGUUGAUAAAAACGUAAAACAGCCAAGGGCCAAGGACGGAUCCCUGGGGCAUCGCACUGGACACCUCGUGUCACACUGACAUCAAACCACUGACGACUCACUCAAGGAGACCCAGUCCACGUUUCAGCCACAGCAGCAGCCACAAGGAGUCCGCAUCCGCGUCCUCCUGAGCCCUGGAAUCCCUUCGGUUCAGGCACUGAGUUAAGGUUCCGAGGUUGGGCCACACAAGCUUCUUAUCCCCUUUACUGCUUCUCAGUCUGUCCUUUGGGCCCCUCGACAUCUGUUUUACCUGCCUCUCGUGACUAUUUUCUGCGUGUUUCCUGCGUGUUUCCUGCGUGUUCUCUGCGUGUCGGUGUUGAGAGCCAAGCCCUGCGCUCUUGUCCCCCGUCACUAAUUCUCCUCAGUGCUUUCUUCUGUUCCAUGUGUGCCUGAGUCUCUGCUGUUGGGUUCUUCAUUCGCCUGUCAAUAAACUCACAGACUAUAAUCACACCCCUCAAUUAUACAGACUUAAACAGUAUGGGCCAUCUCUUGUUCUGGGGAAGCUGUAAUUUAAUGCAACAGGGCUCUGUUGGUCGACAUUUUCCAGCA